rnacentral:rRNA from 1 species
UACGAAGGGGGCUAGCGUUGUUCGGAAUCACUGGGCGUAAAGCGCACGUAGGCGGAUCUUUAAGUCAGGGGUGAAAUCCCGAGGCUCAACCUCGGAACUGCCUUUGAUACUGGGGAUCUCGAGUCCGGGAGAGGUGAGUGGAACUGCGAGUGUAGAGGUGAAAUUCGUAGAUAUUCGCAAGAACACCAGUGGCGAAGGCGGCUCACUGGUCCGGUACUGACGCUGAGGUGCGAAAGCGUGGGGAGCAAACAGG